rnacentral:tRNA from 1 species
GUGGUAGCUCAGUCGGGUAAGCGCCCGCUUCUCACGCCAGAGAUGCGGGGUCGAAUCCCGUCGGCGGCG